AACGAACGCUGGCGGCAGGCCUAACACAUGCAAGUCGAACGCACCGCAAGGUGAGUGGCGCACGGGUGAGUAACACGUGGGAAUGUACCCUUUGGUUCGGAAUAACGUUUGGAAACGAACGCUAAUACCGGAUGAGCCCUACGGGGGAAAGAUUUAUCGCCAAAGGAGCAGCCCGCGUCUGAUUAGCUAGUUGGUGGGGUAAAGGCCUACCAAGGCGACGAUCAGUAGCUGGUCUGAGAGGAUGAUCAGCCACACUGGGACUGAGACACGGCCCCGAAUCCUACGGGAGGCAGCAGUGGGGAAUAUUGGACAAUGGGCGCAAGCCUGAUCCAGCCAUGCCGCGUGAGUGAUGAAGGCCUUCGGGUUGUAAAGCUCUUUCGCACACGACGAUGAUGACGGUAGUGUGAGAAGAAGCCCCGGCUAACUUCGUGCCAGCCGCCGCGGUAA
rnacentral:rRNA from 1 species